rnacentral:rRNA from 1 species
UACGUAGGGUGCAAGCGUUGUCCGGAAUUACUGGGCGUAAAGGGCUCGUAGGUGGCCAACUAAGUCAGACGUGAAAUCCCUCGGCUUAACCGGGGAACUGCGUCUGAUACUGGAUGGCUUGAGUGUGGGAGAGGGAUGCGGAAUUCCAGGUGUAGCGGUGAAAUGCGUAGAUAUCAGGAGGAACACCGGUGGCGAAGGCGGGUCUCUGGGCCGGUACCGACGCUGAGGAGCGAAAGCGUGGGGAGCGAACAGG